ACGCUCGACACCUACGUGAGGCAGCAGUGAGGAAUAUUGGUCAAUGGACGCAAGUCUGAACCAGCCAUGCCGCGUGCAGGAUGACGGCUCUAUGAGUUGUAAACUGCUUUUGUACGAGGGUAAACGCAGAUACGUGUAUCUGUCUGAAAGUAUCGUACGAAUAAGGAUCGGCUAACUCCGUGCCAGCAGCCGCGGUAAUCUGAGCGGGCUGGCAAGGC
rnacentral:rRNA from 1 species